rnacentral:rRNA from 1 species
AUUGAACGCUGGCGGCGGGCUUAACACAUGCAAGUCGAGCGGGGUGAUGGUGCUUGCACUAUCACUUAGCGGCGGACGGGUGAGUAAUGCUUAGGAAUCUGCCCAUUAGUGGGGGACAACAGCUCGAAAGGGAUGCUAAUACCGCAUACGUCCUACGGGAGAAAGCAGGGGAUCACUUGUGACCUUGCCCUAAUCUAUGAGACUAAGUCGGAUUAGCUAGUUGGUGGGGAAAAGGCCUACCAAGGCGACGAUCUGUAGCGGGUCUGAGAGGAUGAUCCGCCACACUGGGACUGAGACACGGCCCAGACUCCUACGGGAGGCAGCAGUGGGGAAUAUUGGACAAUGGGGGGAACCCUGAUCCAGCCAUGCCGCGUGUGUGAAGAAGGCCUUAUGGUUGUAAAGCACUUUAAGCGAGGAGGAGGCUCUUUUGGUUAAUACCCAAGAUGAGUGGACGUUACUCGCAGAAUAAGCACCGGCUAACUCUGUGCCAGCCGCCGCCGUAA